rnacentral:rRNA from 1 species
CUACGGGAUGCAGCAGUGAGGAAUAUUGCACAAUGGGGGGAACCCUGAUGCAGCAACGCCGCGUGGAGGAUGACGCAUUUCGGUGUGUAAACUCCUUUUAUAUGUCAAGAAAAUGACGGUAGCAUAUGAAUAAGCACCGGCUAACUCCGUGCCAGCAGCAGCGGUAAUACGGAGGGUGCAAGCGUUACUCGGAAUCACUGGGCGUAAAGGACGCGUAGGCGGGUUGGAAAGUCAGGUGUGAAAUCCUACAGCUUAACUGUAGAACUGCACUUGAAACUUCUAAUCUAGAGUAUGGGAGGGGAGAUGGAAUUAGUGGUGUAGGGGUAAAAUCCGUAGAUAUCACUAGGAAUACCUAAAGCGAAGGCGAUCUCCUGGAACAUUACUGACGCUAAGGCGUGAAAGCGUGGGGAGCAAACAGGAUUAGAUACCCGGGUAGUC